UCUUGGUCAUUUAGAGGAAGUAAAAGUCGUAACAAGGUUUCCGUAGGUGAANCCUGCGGAAGGAUCAUUAAUGAAAUGAAUGUCGAGAAGGGUUGUAGCUGGCCUCUUGGGGGGUAUGUGCACACCGUGAUCGCACAUCCACAUCUUACACCUGUGCACUAUGUGUAGCUUGGGAUGAUUACAAUAUUGUUCCCAAUAUUGAAAGCCCUAGCUAUGAAUUUUUAUAUACACAUAUACAAAGUUAUAGAAUGGAUAUAGCAUGUAACAAUGCAAAUAUAUACAACUUUCAGCAACGGAUCUCUUGGCUCUCGCAUCGAUGAAGAACGCAGCGAAAUGCGAUAAGUAAUGUGAAUUGCAGAAUUCAGUGAAUCAUCGAAUCUUUGAACGCACCUUGCGCUCCUUGGUAUUCCGAGGAGCAUGCCUGUUUGAGUGUCAUGAAAUUCUCAACUGCUUUUAGUAUUUAUACUGAGGGUGAAGUUGGAGUUGGAGGAAUAAUUGCUGGCGUAACUUAGGUUGCUGGUCGGCUCCUCUUGAAUGGAUAAGCUUUUUCUGAUAGAUUGCAGCUCAGUAGCACUAAUGUGAUAAUUAUCUAUGUUAGAUGUGAAAGCUGUAAGUAGAGUGACUUCGGAGCUCCUAUAGAAAAGUUUGGACCCUUAAAUAAUAAUGAAUCUGACCUCAAAUCAGGUAGGACUACCCGCUGAACUUAAGCAUAUCAAUAAGCGGAGGAAAAGAAACUAACAAGGAUUCCCCUAGUAACUGCGAGUGAAGCGGGAAAAGGCUCAAAUUUAAAAUCUGGCGUGCCUUUGGCCGUCCGAGUUGUAGUCUGGAGAAGUGUUUUCCGCGCUGGACCGUG
rnacentral:rRNA from 1 species